UACGUAGGGGGCAAGCGUUGUCCGGAUUUAUUGGGCGUAAAGAGCGUGUAGGCGGCCAUACAGGUCAGCUGUGAAAACUCGAGGCUCAACCUCGAGACGUCGGUUGAAACCGUAUGGCUAGAGUCCGGAAGAGGCGAGUGGAAUUCCUGGUGUAGCGGUGAAAUGCGCAGAUAUCAGGAGGAACACCGAUUGCGAAGGCAGCUCGCUGGAACGUUACUGACGCUGAGACGCGAAAGCGUGGGGAGCAAACAGG
rnacentral:rRNA from 1 species